rnacentral:rRNA from 1 species
GCGUGCCUAAUACAUGCAAGUCGAACGAACUCUGGUAUUGAUUGGUGCUUGCAUCAUGAUUUACAUUUGAGUGAGUGGCGAACUGGUGAGUAACACGUGGGAAACCUGCCCAGAAGCGGGGGAUAACACCUGGAAACAGAUGCUAAUACCGCAUAACAACUUGGACCGCAUGGUCCGAGUUUGAAAGAUGGCUUCGGCUAUCACUUUUGGAUGGUCCCGCGGCGUAUUAGCUAGAUGGUGGGGUAACGGCUCACCAUGGCAAUGAUACGUAGCCGACCUGAGAGGGUAAUCGGCCACAUUGGGACUGAGACACGGCCCAAACUCCUACGGGAGGCAGCAGUAGGGAAUCUUCCACAAUGGACGAAAGUCUGAUGGAGCAACGCCGCGUGAGUGAAGAAGGGUUUCGGCUCGUAAAACUCUGUUGUUAAAGAAGAACAUAUCUGAGAGUAACUGUUCAGGUAUUGACGGUAUUUAACCAGAAAGCCACGGCUAACUACGUGCCAGCAGCCGCGGUAAUACGUAGGUGGCAAGCGUUGUCCGGAUUUAUUGGGCGUAAAGCGAGCGCAGGCGGUUUUUUAAGUCUGAUGUGAAAGCCUUCGGCUCAACCGAAGAAGUGCAUCGGAAACUGGGAAACUUGAGUGCAGAAGAGGACAGUGGAACUCCAUGUGUAGCGGUGAAAUGCGUAGAUAUAUGGAAGAACACCAGUGGCGAAGGCGGCUGUCUGGUCUGUAACUGACGCUGAGGCUCGAAAGUAUGGGUAGCAAACAGGAUUAGAUACCCUGGUAGUCCAUACCGUAAACGAUGAAUGCUAAGUGUUGGAGGGUUUCCGCCCUUCAGUGCUGCAGCUAACGCAUUAAGCAUUCCGCCUGGGGAGUACGGCCGCAAGGCUGAAACUCAAAGGAAUUGACGGGGGCCCGCACAAGCGGUGGAGCAUGUGGUUUAAUUCGAAGCUACGCGAAGAACCUUACCAGGUCUUGACAUACUAUGCAAAUCUAAGAGAUUAGACGUUCCCUUCGGGGACAUGGAUACAGGUGGUGCAUGGUUGUCGUCAGCUCGUGUCGUGAGAUGUUGGGUUAAGUCCCGCAACGAGCGCAACCCUUAUUAUCAGUUGCCAGCAUUAAGUUGGGCACUCUGGUGAGACUGCCGGUGACAAACCGGAGGAAGGUGGGGAUGACGUCAAAUCAUCAUGCCCCUUAUGACCUGGGCUACACACGUGCUACAAUGGAUGGUACAACGAGUUGCGAACUCGCGAGAGUAAGCUAAUCUCUUAAAGCCAUUCUCAGUUCGGAUUGUAGGCUGCAACUCGCCUACAUGAAGUCGGAAUCGCUAGUAAUCGCGGAUCAGCAUGCCGCGGUGAAUACGUUCCCGGGCCUUGUACACACCGCCCGUCACACCAUGAGAGUUUGUAACACCCAAAGUCGGUGGGGUAACCUUUUAGGAACCAGCCGCCUAAGGUGA